rnacentral:pre_miRNA from 1 species
UGCAACGUUCUCCAAAGUAGUGAACGUAAUUUAUCGUGAGUUAUGUCUAUAGAUAU